UACGGAGGGUGCAAGCGUUAUCCGGAUUCACUGGGUUUAAAGGGUGCGUAGGUGGGCAGGUAAGUCCGUGGUGAAAUCCCUGAGCUUAACUCGGGAACUGCCAUGGAUACUAUUUGUCUUGAAUACUGUGGAGGUAAGCGGAAUAUGUCAUGUAGCGGUGAAAUGCUUAGAUAUGACAUAGAACACCAAUUGCGAAGGCAGCUUACUACACAGUUAUUGACACUGAGGCACGAAAGCGUGGGGAUCAAACAGG
rnacentral:rRNA from 1 species